AGCUCCAAUAGCGUAUAUUAAAGUUGUUGCAGUUAAAAAGCUCGUAGUUGGAUUUCUGAUUUGAAUAUCUGGUCCGUUUAUGUUUAUCAUGAAUGUGUACUGUAUGAUAUUUGAUUCAUUUUUUGUGAGGAUAUUUAUCUGUCAUUAAGUUGAUGGAUUUAUGGACUUGCAUCUUUUACUGUGAAAAAAUUAGAGUGUUCAAAGCAGGCGUUCGCCCAUUUGUAUACAUUAGCAUGGAAUAAUAAGAUAUGACUUUGGUGGUCUAUUUUGUUGGUUUGCACACCAGAGUAAUGAUUAAUAGGGACAGUUGGGGGUAUUCAUAUUUCAGCGUCAGAGGUGAAAUUCUUAGAUCGCUGAAAGAUGAGCUUAGGCGAAAGCAUUUACCAUGGAUGUUUUCAUUA
rnacentral:rRNA from 1 species